UUAAUACCGCGGCGACCGGCCGACCUGCAACGUCAUCACUACCGUACCGAAAGGCAACGCCUGCUCGGAGCCCUAAUGCCGUCAUGAUUUUUGAUUUUCCCCCGAUUGAAUUCAGUACAAACUUUAUCAAAUAUGUCGCCACGCACCAUAGCUGAUUGCUGGUAAUGUUGCACAUCAGUACUUAUGUUGCUGGUUUCUGGGCUCCACCGUGACCCACCACAGCACCGUCUAAGCGAACAAAGGGAUUCAAGCGUGGGUCACUGUUAGCUGCCUAUUACGUGGGAGAUCAAGUUCACUGUGAAAACUGACGGGAUGGUUUCCGCAGCCAUGGACAAAUUGAAAAAUGCUCGUCUCUUCGAUUUGAAACUGAAUCCUGCAGUAUGCUGAGGAUUUUUGUCAAGGUAUGAACAGAAUGUGGUAUCGUUAAAGAGCUACAUCGCAAGGACAUUUCAACGCAUCACACCGCUUUGUUCUGUGCAGCCGGGCCGCAUCGACGGGACCAUUUUUUUGUGGUUUCCCCCGCAGCUCGAAGUGACGGUUCCGCUUGCUUCACAGCUUCCGGGUAUUACCGACGUUUCAUCAAAACACUGUCGUGCAAUAUUGAUCACUCAAUGGCGUCAGACACAACAGACAUUAGCCGGGAAUCUGCUGAACUUUUGGACAUCAAAUGGCAGGACAAGACCAGCAAGAAGCACCCGUAUUCUUGUGGUUUUUCCGGCAGUCGUCUGCGCCUCGUCGAGUUCUCUGAGAAACACGACUACUGCUCCAUUCAAUUUCAAACAGAAUCUUUGAAGCCCGUGUGGAUUGGAAGUCAGUUACAGAGACCGUCACAUGCUGUUUUAACUGGAAGUAUCCUCCAGUAUCACCAAAUGGCCGACACUAAAACCCAGUGACAAUCUCUUAAAACAACAACUAAGUAAACUUUUCAAAGCAGCCCAAAGGAAACCUUUUGCUCCCUCUCAACUUAAUUGUCGCUUUUGUCCACAUUUUUGCUUGAAACGUUGGAUCAAAAUAUGUAGGAGAAACUCUUCACUCUCUGAUCAGUUUGCAUGCCCUAAGUUGAAGGAGUAGCAAAGGUCACUAGAAAUUAUCCAGUUUGAAGAUGAUGGAUUUUUUCUCUGAUAUCUCAGUUCUGAACAGAAAAAAGAGAAAGAAACCAGAGUGGGGUCUUUUCUGUCGGUUUCACUGGACACGCGCAGGACACGCGCCAAUGUCUGGCCAGCUGUUACCGCAGUUAAUCCCCCAUAGCCUUUGCCUUGGAGACUGCACCGUUCACCCUUCUGAUAGUAUUGUAUGUAUUCUGGACGAAGUAACCUCGCAUAAAUCAUGCAGUUAAUUAGCCAUUAGACUCCCCGGGCCAUGCAUAGUACAGACGAUAUGAUUGAUCAUCUGCUGCGGCCAUUUGUUCACAGCUGAUAUAUCAGAGAAUUCCAGUGUGAACUUGGCCAUUAUUUUGGAGUGGGCGAAGAUAUAUUUUUUGUAGGAAACGCUUUCGUUGGACUCUGGUUCCGUUGUGAAUACUUGGCCAGGUCGCAUUUGAUUUUCAACAAGUUCAUUUUUUUCUAAAUGACCUACUUGAAUAUUAUGACAAGCUUGAAAUUUAAAGCAGAUUUAAAGCAGACUCAUGGAUCAUUACACUGGCAACGCGUGGGGACUUAUUGGUAAGGUUGGCAUGCUGUGAUGGUAAGGGCUGUGAUUUUCUGGGCCUGUCUAUGGUUGUUAGGCAUUUAGAGCAAAACAUUGUAUUUUCUUUAAGGUGAAUUUCUGUUUGCAACCCUUGUUCUUUGGCACCUGCUUCCAAGACGCAUCUAACAGUUUGAGUUGAUGGACCUUCUUGCUUCUUAUGGACGAGCGCUUGCUGUGCGGCAGUUGUGCACUAAGCGAAUAGCAUGUAGGUUGUACUUAUUGGAGUAACCCUAGAUAUCGUAGAACAAACAAUUUUAUUGAGCAUGCUCUGUGUUUCCCGGUUUACAAAAUGGAGAAUGGAAAUGUUGCGGUUUUGGACAUAUUUCGGGAAAGUUUUUCCCCCAAAACUGCUAUUUUCACAACCAAGAAGCACAGAAUGUGUGUGACAUGAUGCUGGGACAGGCUGAGGGAACUUGGUGGUGGUGGUGGUGGGUGGAGGUUACUGAAGUGAAGACAGUAGAAGACAUCCA